rnacentral:rRNA from 1 species
AGAGUUUGAUCAUGGCUCAGACGACGCUGCGCGUGCUACACAUGCAAGUCGAACGCGCUCCAUUCGGUAGCAAUACUGAUGAAGAGCGAGUGCGAACGGGUGAGUAGCACGUGAGCAACUGCCCCGAAGACUGGGACAACACCGGGAAACCGGUGCUAAUACCGGAUAUCCCUAUCGGACCGCAUGAUCUGAUAAGGAAAUGGAUUCCGCUUCGGGAGGGGCUCGCGGCCUAUCAGCUAGUUGGUGAGGUAAUAGCUCACCAAGGCAUCGACGGGUAGCUGGUCUGAGAGGACGAUCAGCCACACUGGGACUGAGACACGGCCCAGACUCCUACGGGAGGCAGCAGUGGGGAAUCUUGCGCAAUGGGCGAAAGCCUGACGCAGCAACGCCGCGUGGAGGACGAAGGCUUUCUGAGUUGUAAACUCCUUUCAGCAGGGACGAUAGUGACGGUACCUGCAGAAGAAGCACCGGCCAACUACGUGCCAGCAACCGCGGUGAUACGUAGGGUGCAAGCGUUGUCCGGACUUAUUGGGCGUAAAGAGCUCGUAGGCGGUUUGAUAAGUCGGGUGUGAAACCUCCAGGCUCAACCUGGAGCCGCCACUCGAUACUGUCAUGACUAGAAUUCGGUAGGGGACCACGGAAUUCCUGGUGUAGCGGUGAAAUGCGCAGAUAUCAGGAGGAACACCAGCAGCGAAGGCGGUGGUCUGGGCCGACAUUGACGCUGAGGAGCGAAAGCGUGGGGAGCGAACAGGAUUAGAUACCCUGGUAGUCCACGCCGUAAACGUUGGGCACUAGGUGUGGGGACUAUUCAACGGUUUC